rnacentral:piRNA from 1 species
UGAAAUGGUUGUUUGGUGAUGACACUGG